AGAGUUUGAUCCUGGCUCAGGAUGAACGCUGGCGGCGUGCCUAACACAUGCAAGUCGAACGAAGCGUCUUGGAGGAAGUUUUCGGAUGGAAUCCGGGAUGACUGAGUGGCGGACGGGUGAGUAACGCGUGGGUAACCUGCCCUGUACUGGGGGACAACAGUUAGAAAUGACUGCUAAUACCGCAUAAGCGCACAGGACCGCAUGGUCCGGUGUGAAAAACUCCGGUGGUACAGGAUGGACCCGCGUCUGAUUAGGUAGUUGGCGGGGUAACGGCCUGCCAAGCCGACGAUCAGUAGCCGACCUGAGAGGGUGACCGGCCACAUUGGGACUGAGACACGGCCCAAACUCCUACGGGAGGCAGCAGUGGGGAAUAUUGCACAAUGGGGGAAACCCUGAUGCAGCGACGCCGCGUGAGUGAAGAAGUAUUUCGGUAUGUAAAGCUCUAUCAGCAGGGAAGAACAUGACGGUACCUGACUAAGAAGCCCCGGCUAACUACGUGCCAGCCGCCGCGGUAAUAC
rnacentral:rRNA from 1 species